UACGAAGGGGGCUAGCGUUGCUCGGAAUUACUGGGCGUAAAGGGCGCGUAGGCGGACAGUUUAGUCAGAGGUGAAAGCCCAGGGCUCAACCUUGGAAUUGCCUUUGAUACUGGCUGUCUUGAGUACGGGAGAGGUGUGUGGAACUCCGAGUGUAGAGGUGAAAUUCGUAGAUAUUCGGAAGAACACCAGUGGCGAAGGCGACACACUGGCCCGUUACUGACGCUGAGGCGCGAAAGCGUGGGGAGCAAACAGG
rnacentral:rRNA from 2 species